CAGUCGCCGCGGUAAUACGUAGGGUGCAAGCGUUAAUCGGAAUUACUGGGCGUAAAGCGUGCGCAGGCGGUUAUAUAAGUCAGAUGUGAAAUCCCCGGGCUCAACCUGGGAACUGCAUUUGAGACUGUAUGGCUAGAGUGUGUCAGAGGGGGGUAGAAUUCCACGUGUAGCAGUGAAAUGCGUAGAUAUGUGGAGGAAUACCGAUGGCGAAGGCAGCCCCCUGGGAUAACACUGACGCUCAUGCACGAAAGCGUGGGGAGCAAACAGGAUUAGAUACCCCAGUAGUCCCUGUCUCUUAUAC
rnacentral:rRNA from 1 species